rnacentral:lncRNA from 1 species
ACAGCCAAGAACAAAACGUAUCAGAUUUCAUCACCAAUCUAAAGACAAAACCAUCGAGAAUAGGAGAAACAUCACCCACAUAUAACUAUCACUCCAUUUUUCUAUAAUCGCAAUCAUAUCUAACCCCUUAAUUGUAUAUAGGCUAAACAUCACUACUGUUCGCCCAACCAUAACUUGAUCAAUUACUUCUUGAGACCUGCUGGUUCUAACACCAUCCUUGAUCAUUUAAUAGCAAACCACCCCAAUUCAUUUGUACAUUCACCACCAUCUUCAUCUACAUAAUACU